CUCUGCUUGUAGCAACGAAGAUGCAAUUUCUUCUGAUCUCAUCUACUCAGCAAACAUCAUCCGCAGAAAAUAACGACUUUCCGAACCGUGCCGUCAUGAAUUCUGGAAUUAUAAUGGUUAAUAAACAUUUGAAUAAGAUGUGACAAUAGAACACAACCAAUAAGGCAUCAAUGUCCGAACUACGGUAGCGGUACGGUCGGUAUGUAUCUGGUGUAGACUACAGAAAAAACAACUGGUAAAAGGCAGCCGGAGCUAAUGUGCAGAAAACAGCAUAUCGCGCAUAAAAAUUUUUGAUUACACGAUGAUAUGUGAGAUGGCUGCUGUCGGCUUCCGCUGGCUGGCUGUGUAAGGAAGCGCUUUUCUUAUACACGAACGAAACUACAUCCUGAUGCACAUCAAGGCAAUCACUUCCCAUUUUCUCAGGAUAAAGAAGGAAAACUUUUCGCGGGGUUGUAUCAGCAUUUUACUAUAGACUGAAAAUCCACCGGACUGUAGAAACAAUCUACAUGAGCUCGUUGUUACUCCUGAUGUGUACACCUACCUACAUCAAUUGUUAUGUGAGCGAAACGAAAAGAAAUCCUCCACACACCACCGAUGAUGAAGACGACGAGAAGACCGACUAGCAGAUGAUGAUAGCAGUGAUGAGUCCUUAAACAUCAGCUCAGCAGCCAGCAGCCGUUUGCCACCAAGAAGCAAAAAGUUUCGUUUUCAGAAAAUACUAUUACCAGUAGGUUCCACACGUUCGGUUGCCGAGGUGCGGAUUGAGGUGACCAGACUUUCCUCCAAAAUAAAAAAAAAACAAUUGUUACUCAUUAACAGUGUAUGACCCAGCAUGCACACAAUUAAUUACAUAUUAGGUUAAGCACGACUAAACCUCAAAAACGGUUACAUUUUUUUUAAAUUUAAGUGAAAUAGAAAUAGGCCUUGGCCAAAAA